GUAAUCCUACGGGGCGCAGCAGUGAGGAAUAUUGGUCAAUGGGCGGGAGCCUGAACCAGCCAAGUCGCGUGAAGGAAGAAGGUACUUAGUAUUGUAAACUUCUUUUGUCGGGGAACAAAGGCGGAGACGCGUCUCCGGAUGAGUGUACCCGAAGAAAAAGCAUCGGCUAACUCCGUGCCAUCAGCCGCGGUAAUACGGAGGAUGCGAGCGUUAUCCGGAUUUAUUGGGUUUAAAGGGUGCGCAGGCGGGAGAUCAAGUCAGCUGGAAAAUGUCGGGGCUCAACC
rnacentral:rRNA from 1 species